rnacentral:rRNA from 1 species
AACGAACGCUGGCGGCAGGCUUAACACAUGCAAGUCGAGCGCCCCGCAAGGGGAGCGGCAGACGGGUGAGUAACGCGUGGGAACGUACCUUUUGGUUCGGAACAACUCCGGGAAACUGGAGCUAAUACCGGAUAAGCCCUAACGGGGAAAGAUUUAUCGCCGAAAGAUCGGCCCGCGUCUGAUUAGCUAGUUGGUGAGGUAACGGCUCACCAAGGCGACGAUCAGUAGCUGGUCUGAGAGGAUGAUAAGCCACGCUGGGACUGAGACACGGCCCAGACUCCUACGGGAGGCAGCAGUGGGGGAUAUUGGAAAAUGGGCGCAAGCCUGAUCCAGCCAUGCCGCGUGAGUGAUGAAGGCCUUAGGAUUGUAAAGCUCUUUUGUCCGGGAAGAUAAUGACUGUACAGGAAGAAUAAGCUCCGGCUAACUUCGUG